rnacentral:rRNA from 1 species
GAUGAACGCUGGCGGCGUGCCUAAUACAUGCAAGUCGAGCGAACAGACGAGGAGCUUGCUCCUCUGACGUUAGCGGCGGACGGGUGAGUAACACGUGGAUAACCUACCUAUAAGACUGGGAUAACUUCGGGAAACCGGAGCUAAUACCGGAUAACAUGUUGAACCGCAUGGUUUAACAGUGAAAGACGGUCUUGCUGUCACUUAUAGAUGGAUCCGCGCCGCAUUAGCUAGUUGGUAAGGUAACGGCUUACCAAGGCAACGAUGCGUAGCCGACCUGAGAGGGUGAUCGGCCACACUGGAACUGAGACACGGUCCAGACUCCUACGGGAGGCAGCAGUAGGGAAUCUUCCGCAAUGGGCGAAAGCCUGACGGAGCAACGCCGCGUGAGUGAAGAAGGUCUUCGGAUCGUAAAACUCUGUUAUUAGGGAAGAACAAAUGUGUAAGUAACUAUGCACGUCUUGACGGUACCUAAUCAGAAAGCCACGGCUAACUACGU